CCCUGCAUCGAAAGUGAUUGUGGUCCUGGACGUGGCCCGGUCAUUGAUACUGCAGGCAGAGAAUCCGGUGAAAGCUUUUCCCGUGUUUGGAGACCGUUCGCUAUGGCUGCCGAACCCUGUAACUUUCACACA